rnacentral:misc_RNA from 1 species
GAUGAAGAACGUAGCGAAAUGCGAUACUUGGUGUGAAUUACAGAAUCCCGUGAACCAUCGAGUCUUUGAACGCAAGUUGCGCCCGAAGCCAUUAGGCCGAAGGCACGCCUGCCUGGGCGUCACACGUCGUUGCCCCCCCAUCUACUCCUUCGGGAUUGCGGGGGGCGGAUGAUGGCCUCCCGUGCGCCUCGCCGCGCGGUUGGCAUAAAUGCCAAGUCCUCGGCGACGCACGCCACGACAAUCGGUGGUUGCGAAACCUCGGUUGCCCGUCGUGUGCGGUCGUCGCGCAUCGAGGGCUCGAAAAAAUUGCCGGGUUCCGGCUCGGCUUUCAACGCGACCCCAGGUCAGGCGGGGUUACCCGCUGAAUUUAAGCAUAUCAAUAAGCGGAGGA